rnacentral:rRNA from 1 species
AUGGAAGAAGACAAGUUCUGUAGGGUUUUCUUGCUUAUUGUGCUGUCAGUUUUUAUUGCUCUGAAUUCACAAGGAGUUGCGAGCAGCAAAUUCGAUAGCGCAUUAGUGAACAUUGAGGCUGUGGCGAAACAUGAUUGGUGCUUGUUCACAAUCAGUUACCUUGUGUAUUCGAUCAACAAAGCUCAAAAUGAAAAUAAUAAUGGCAAACACAUAUUCCCCAGAGGAUGCAAGCUAGCUUUGGUGAUAUCUUACUUCGAGUUCCUUCUAGCUCCUGGUUUCUCGAUUCCAAAUUCUCUCCCUAGGCUACCACUUUGGACAUCAAACUUGUCGAAUUCAUACAUGGCGCUUGAUGCACUACACGGGAGUAGUAAUCUUUUUGGAAGAUUACCGGAUAGUGGCGGAGCCAGCAAAUUGCCAAAGCCCGGGCAUGCCGUAAGCUAA